CAGCCGCCACGGUAAUACGAAGGGGGCUAGCGUUGUUCGGAAUUACUGGGCGUAAAGCGCACGUAGGCGGAUAUUUAAGUCAGGGGUGAAAUCCCGCAGCUCAACUGCGGAACUGCCUUUGAUACUGGGUAUCUUGAGUAUGGAAGAGGUUAGUGGAAUUGCGAGUGUAGAGGUGAAAUUCGUAGAUAUUCGCAGGAACACCAGUGGCGAAGGCGGCUAACUGGUUCAUAACUGACGCUGAGGUGCGAAAGCGUGGGGAGCAAACAGGAUUAGAUACCCGAGUAGUCCCUGUCUCUUAUAC
rnacentral:rRNA from 1 species